GCGAUGUCAGUAGCACAGGGUUGGAGAGGAACUCCAGGCAUCUAUCUGCUCCAGGGGUCACCGAGGACUGAGAUAGUUCAGAAUGUGGAAGCUCACUGCUCCCCUUGGCUUCUUCGCCACCCCUUCCCCUCUCUAGCCCUGCUUCCAGUCUGUAGUUCACCUGCUUCUAAAACCACAACCUUCAUCGUGAACACAGAUCCAAGCUGAGGUCUCCUGGAGUUUCCUGGCUGGACAGGAUGUUCAGAUGAGAGGGGACCAAAAGCCUUUACAUACAACCAGCAUUGCAGAAGCCUCUGGAAUCUUCUCCUGCCACGUUCUUAGCCAUCAGAAGCAGCUAGGUCAUUUGUGAGCUGGGUUGAGACUAGGACAACAGGGGACCUGGGGACCGUUAAGAAGCGAGAACAUGUCUGCUUCUUUUAUGACCUUCAAUAUUAGUCACCAGGAAGUUGCUCCAUGAAGCCUACAACCUCGUAUCACUAACUCGGCUUGAAUUGAUUAAGGAAACUCGGAUGAGAAUAAUUAGAGACCUUUCUGUUGAUGACAUCUCAUCUCCUGGUGGUGGAAUUUGCUUCUGCAUCCUCUGGCAUCCCCUUAGGUCCCCACAGAUACUACUCACAGGUUCUGUUUUUCCAAAGCACCUCAGCUCUAUGGC
ensembl:lincRNA Gm20052 predicted gene, 20052